rnacentral:rRNA from 1 species
GGACGGGUGAGUAAUGCCUAGGAAAUUGCCCUGAUGUGGGGGAUAACCAUUGGAAACGAUGGCUAAUACCGCAUGAUGCCUACGGGCCAAAGAGGGGGACCUUCGGGCCUCUCGCGUCAGGAUAUGCCUAGGUGGGAUUAGCUAGUUGGUGAGGUAAGGGCUCACCAAGGCGACGAUCCCUAGCUGGUCUGAGAGGAUGAUCAGCCACACUGGAACUGAGACACGGUCCAGACUCCUACGGGAGGCAGCAGUGGGGAAUAUUGCACAAUGGGCGCAAGCCUGAUGCAGCCAUGCCGCGUGUGUGAAGAAGGCCUUCGGGUUGUAAAGCACUUUCAGUCGUGAGGAAGGUAGUGUAGUUAAUAGCUGCAUUAUUUGACGUUAGCGACAGAAGAAGCACCGGCUAACUCCGUGCCAGCAGCCGCGGUAAUACGGAGGGUGCGAGCGUUAAUCGGAAUUACUGGGCGUAAAGCGCAUGCAGGUGGUUUGUUAAGUCAGAUGUGAAAGCCCGGGGCUCAACCUCGGAAUUGCAUUUGAAACUGGCAGACUAGAGUACUGUAGAGGGGGGUAGAAUUUCAGGUGUAGCGGUGAAAUGCGUAGAGAUCUGAAGGAAUACCGGUGGCGAAGGCGGCCCCCUGGACAGAUACUGACACUCAGAUGCGAAAGCGUGGGGAGCAAACAGGAUUAGAUACCCUGGUAGUCCACGCCGUAAACGAUGUCUACUUGGAGGUUGUGGCCUUGAGCCGUGGCUUUCGGAGCUAACGCGUUAAGUAGACCGCCUGGGGAGUACGGUCGCAAGAUUAAAACUCAAAUGAAUUGACGGGGGCCCGCACAAGCGGUGGAGCAUGUGGUUUAAUUCGAUGCAACGCGAAGAACCUUACCUAC